UGCAGUCGAGCGGACAGAUGGGAGCUUGCUCCCUGAUGUUAGCGGCGGACGGGUGAGUAACACGUGGGUAACCUGCCUGUAAGACUGGGAUAACUCCGGGAAACCGGGGCUAAUACCGGAUGCUUGUUUGAACCGCAUGGUUCAAACAUAAAAGGUGGCUUCGGCUACCACUUACAGAUGGACCCGCGGCGCAUUAGCUAGUUGGUGAGGUAACGGCUCACCAAGGCAACGAUGCGUAGCCGACCUGAGAGGGUGAUCGGCCACACUGGGACUGAGACACGGCCCAGACUCCUACGGGAGGCAGCAGUAGGGAAUCUUCCGCAAUGGACGAAAGUCUGACGGAGCAACGCCGCGUGAGUGAUGAAGGUUUUCGGAUCGUAAAGCUCUGUUGUUAGGGAAGAACAAGUACCGUUCGAAUAGGGCGGUACCUUGACGGUACCUAACCAGAAAGCCACGGCUAACUACGUGCCAGCAGCCGCGGUAAUACGUAGGUGGCAAGCGUUGUCCGGAAUUAUUGGGCGUAAAGGGCUCGCAGGCGGUUCCUUAAGUCUGAUGUGAAAGCCCCCGGCUCAACCGGGGAGGGUCAUUGGAAACUGGGGAACUUGAGUGCAGAAGAGGAGAGUGGAAUUCCACGUGUAGCGGUGAAAUGCGUAGAGAUGUGGAGGAACACCAGUGGCGAAGGCGACUCUCUGGUCUGUAACUGACGCUGAGGAGCGAAAGCGUGGGGAGCGAACAGGAUUAGAUACCCUGGUAGUCCACGCCGUAAACGAUGAGUGCUAAGUGUUAGGGGGUUUCCGCCCCUUAGUGCUGCAGCUAACGCAUUAAGCACUCCGCCUGGGGAGUACGGUCGCAAGACUGAAACUCAAAGGAAUUGACGGGGGCCCGCACAAGCGGUGGAGCAUGUGGUUUAAUUCGAAGCAACGCGAAGAACCUUACCAGGUCUUGACAUCCUCUGACAAUCCUAGAGAUAGGACGUCCCCUUCGGGGGCAGAGUGACAGGUGGUGCAUGGUUGUCGUCAGCUCGUGUCGUGAGAUGUUGGGUUAAGUCCCGCAACGAGCGCAACCCUUGAUCUUAGUUGCCAGCAUUCAGUUGGGCACUCUAAGGUGACUGCCGGUGACAAACCGGAGGAAGGUGGGGAUGACGUCAAAUCAUCAUGCCCCUUAUGACCUGGGCUACACACGUGCUACAAUGGACAGAACAAAGGGCAGCGAAACCGCGAGGUUAAGCCAAUCCCACAAAUCUGUUCUCAGUUCGGAUCGCAGUCUGCAACUCGACUGCGUGAAGCNGGAAUCGCUAGUA
rnacentral:rRNA from 1 species